GGUGCUGUCGUCCAGAGGUUUAGGACGUUGGAUUGUGGUCUAAUACGUCAACUCUCCAAAGACCAAGGUUCGAAUCCUUGCAGCGCCA
rnacentral:tRNA from 1 species